CCAGAACCACUUACAGGAAACUGCCGCUGGUUCUGCUGCUGCUGUCAACAGCAUCUGCUUCCUGAAGAAGGACAUCGGAGAGAAGGUGGUAAGGAGCAGGGUAAGAAAAUGAUACCCACACACUUCAAUUGCAGCUGGUGAUCAAUUUAUGAUCAGAAGCAGGAGGUCUGUGGACAUUCCUGACUUUACCUUGACAGUGGAACAACAGUGGUGACAAAGAACAGGUUAAGACAUAAUGGACCUCUCGUUUGCAAGAUAUCAG